CCUACGGGUGGCUUCAGUAAGGAAUAUUGGUCAAUGGAGGAAACUCUGAACCAGCCAUCCCGCGUGAAGGAUGAAGGGGCUCUGCCUUGUAAACUUCUUUUGUCUGGGGCGAAAAAGCUCGAUUUAUCGAGAACUGACGGUACCAGAAGAAUAAGCACCGGCUAACUCCGUGCCAGCAGCCGCGGUACUACGGAGGGUGCAAGCGUUAUCCGGAUUCACUGGGUUUAAGGGGUCCGUAUAAGGCUUUGGUGAAAGGCUGUGGCUUAACCAGGGAAUUGCCAUUGAUACUGCAGAGCUUGAAUGAGGUUGAGGUUGGCGGAAUGUGACAUGUAGCGGUGAAAUGCUUAGAUAUGUCAUGGAACACCGAUUGCGAAGGCAGCUGACUGGACCUAUAUUGACGCUGAGGCACGAAAGCGUGGGGAGCGAACAGGAUUAGAUACCCGGGUAGUC
rnacentral:rRNA from 1 species